CCUACGGGGGGCAGCAGUGGGGAAUAUUGCACAAUGGGGGAAACCCUGAUGCAGCGAUGCCGCGUGGAGGAAGAAGGUUUUCGGAUUGUAAACUCCUUUAUCAGGGACGGUAAUGACGGUACCUGAAGAAAAAGCUCCGGCUAACUACGUGCCAGCAGCCGCGGGAAUACGGAGGGAGCGAGCGUUGUCCGGAAUUACUGGGGGUAAAAGGAGCGGAGGCGGGGCGGGAAG
rnacentral:rRNA from 1 species